rfam:Neofusicoccum parvum TCRNP2 chromosome Tnknown NP2_03_scaffold_375, whole genome shotgun sequence.
GGCCGCGUGGCCCAAUGGCAAGGCGCUUGACUACGAAUCAAGAGAUUCCAGGUUCGACCCCUGGCGCGGUCA